GGCCUGGUGGUGAAAUGGUAUCACAUUCCGCUCUUUUAAAAUUUGCUUCCGAAGAUAUGUUGGGAGGUUCCUUGUUCGACUCAAGGUCGGGCCA